rnacentral:tRNA from 1 species
AUUUCUUUAGUAUAACAGUACAAAUGCCUUCCAAGCAUAAAGCCCCCCAAGGGAAGAAAUA